rnacentral:misc_RNA from 1 species
GAAAUGCGAUACGUAAUGCGAAUUGCAGAAUUCAGUGAAUCAUCAAAUCUUUGAACGCAAAUUGCGCUCUCGGGAUAGGCCUGAGAGCACGCCUCUUUGAGUAUCGAUUCCACCACCUCCAGAACAAACUGUUUUUUGUUAAUGGUUUGCCACUGGGAUUUUGAGUGUUUUUCCUGUUGUUGUUUUAUGCAAUGAUGGGUCACUUGAAAAGGAAUGGAAUGGAGGGAUGCAAGACUCUGAGAGCUUUUGAGCUAUUGAGUUGACUUGAUUAUGGAUAAAUAUCUAAUGAUCAAAUAAACUUGAUAGUUUGUAUGAGCUAGACUGUGAGUCAUGCGAUCAUGUCCCUCUCCCAACUUCUUACUAACGUUUAAGAAUUAGAUCUCAAAUGAAGCGAGACAACCCGCUGAACUUAAGC